GGGUUGUGGCUCAGCGGUAGAGCCCUCGUCUAGGACGUGCGAGGCCCUGGGUUCGACCCUCAGCCCCA
rnacentral:tRNA from 1 species